UACGGAGGGUGCAAGCGUUAUCCGGAUUUACUGGGUUUAAAGGGUGCGUAGGUGGGUAAGUAAGUCAGUGGUGAAAUCUCCGGGCUUAACCCGGAAACUGCCAUUGAUACUAUUUAUCUUGAAUACUUUGGAGGUAAGCGGAAUAUGUCAUGUAGCGGUGAAAUGCUUAGAUAUGACAUAGAACACCUAUUGCGAAGGCAGCUUACUACGCAGAGAUUGACGCUCAUGCACGAAAGCGUGGGGAUCAAACAGG
rnacentral:rRNA from 1 species